AUGAUCCUGUGGCUAAACCUGGUGUCCUUAGUAGUAGUCCUCAGAGGUGCCCAGUCUGAGGUCCAGUUGGUGGAGUCCGGUGGGGAUGUGAGAAGGCCUGGAGAGUCCCUCCCUCUCUCCUGCCAAGCCUCCGGAUUCACCUUCAGCAGCUAUACUAUGCACUGGGUGAGACAAGCUCCAGGGAAAGGCCUGGAAUGGGUUGCAAGGAUCGAUACAUCUGCCACUUACUACUCAGAUAAAGUCAAGGGACGCUUCACCAUCUCCAGGGACAACUCCAAAAGCCAAGUCUAUCUGCAAAUGAACAGCCUGAAGCCGGAGGACUCGGCAGUCUAUUACUGUGCAAGACACACAGUGAGAGGAAGUGAAUCUGAAGCCUGGCAAAAACUCUCUCUUCCUCUGAGCAGCUCCCCAAGUUGA